rnacentral:rRNA from 1 species
GGAUCAGAUUGUCGGUCGUGCCUCGGUACGCACUGGCAUUAUUGGUUCCUACCUUCUGAAGAACCGCGAUGUCAUUAAUUUGGUGUCGUGGGGAAUCAGGACUGUUACUUUGAAAAAAUUAGAGUGCUUAAAGCAGGCUUUUGCUUGAAUAGAUUAGCAUGGAAUAAUAAAAUAGGACGUUUGAUUCUAUUUUGUUGGUUUCUAGGAUUGACGUA